ACCCCAUGUGCACGCCUUGCGGCCCCAGCUUCCGGCUCCAAAAUCACUGAACGAUGUCGCCCGAUGACCAAUGAAGUUCAAGCCCCGCCUCUUAUCGGCCCGGCCUGUCACAAACUCCAGCUGGUUCUUUCUAGUGCCCCGCCCCCGCCUUUCAUUGGCUCCUGCCGCCCUCGCGACUUUAGACCGAGCUCCGAUUGGCCGAGCUCAAAAAAGCCGACUUUGAGCUACGGUAUUCAAAUACGUGCCCCGUUGACUGCUAUGGCCAACUUGGAGCUUGGCUGACUGCUGUGUAUAGAGGGCAAGCUUGGCUUAGAUGAUCUUUGACAUCCCUGUCAAUUCUCAAUCCCUGAUUAUCCAGUGGAACAACAGAAUGACAACUGCUGAUACUUUUUGUAGGUUUUUUGUCAUCAGAGAUCUAAAGUUGGAAAGGACCUUGGAAGAUAUUAUCUCUAAUCCUUCCCUUCAUGAUGAGAAAUCAGGACCAGAGAUGUGAAACUUGGCCAAGAUCACGUUGGUAGUGAGUUGCAGAGCUGGAAAUCAGACGCAGGAGAUGGCUUGACCGGUAUAGGAAGGAGAAUGAAGAAAUUUAGAAUUGGAGAUAAUGUAAAAACAAAAAAUA